rnacentral:misc_RNA from 1 species
GUAUAGAGUAGUGAAUCGCUACCGUUUAAUACAUGGGUGGUUAGCAGGGCGACGACGGCGGAAACGACAACCGGGCCGAGGGAAGCCAGCAUUAAGGUACCGAACAGGAUUUCCGCGAUAAACAGGCUGCCCGCCAGCGGCGCAUGGUAAGCGCCCGCCAUGCCCGCAGCGGCGCCGCUGGCGAUCCAUAAUUUCCAUUCCUCACGCGGCGUGAGGCGUCGGGCAAAGCUGGAUGCCGCCAGCGCGGCGAGGAGGAUCAUUGCGCCUUCGCGACCAAUUGCGCUGCCGCUGACCACGACCAGCAGCGAGGCCAGCGAUUUCACCAGACUGGCGCCAACGUCAAAUUGCCCGUCGGUUUGCAAUGCUUCCAUAUAGUCAGUGGGCGCAUGGGGGCGCUGUUGGUUCAUUUUUUGCCACCCCCACAGCAACAGACCAGCGGCCAGGCCGCCAAGCGCCGGCGUAAUC